AAUUUGUAAGUAUAUUUUAAAUUUGUUGUUUUCCUUUGUUUUGAAUUUUUAUUAACCAUGGCUCUUUUUGUAGGUGGUUAGAAACAAAAUUUUUUUUUUUUUUUGGAGAGGAAAAGGCAUCAAGCAGUGGAUUUUUGUUUUUCCCCAUCAUUUAUUUCACUUUCUAUUUGAAUUUUAAUUGGAGGUUCCUGCUUACAAAUUUUCUAUGAUUUGUGGGGGUUCUUGGCUUUUAAAAUUUUAUCUUGGGUACCCUGUGCCCCCCUUUUAUGACGUGUGUUUUUUUUUUAUACAAUAAAUUUCAAUAUAAAUUGCUUAAAAAUAAAUAUGUAAUAAUAUUUUAAAAGUAUUAUUAAACCAGAG